AAUUCAAGGGUGUGGCGCGAGCUCCUUCGGGAGCGAAGCAAUUGGAAGUGGUUCCAAGAAAAGCCUCUAAGCUUCAGUCUAACGAUGACCGUACCGCAAACCGACACAGGUGGGCGAGAUGAGUAUUCUAAGGCGCUUGAGAGAACUCGGGAGAAGGAACUCGGCAAAUUGGUACCGUAACUUCGGGAUAAGGUACGCCCUUGUAGCUUGACUGGCCUGCGCCAGGAGGGUGAAGGGGUUGCAAUAAACUGGUGGCUGCGACUGUUUAAUAAAAACACAGCACUCUGCAAACACGAAAGUGGACGUAUAGGGUGUGACGCCUGCCCGGUGCCGGAAGAUUAAAUGAUGGGGUGCAAGCUCUUGAUUGAAGUCCCGGUAAACGGCGGCCGUAACUAUAACGGUCCUAAGGUAGCGAAAUUCCUUGUCGGGUAAGUUCCGACCUGCACGAAUGGCGUAACGAUGGCCACACUGUCUCCUCCCGAGACUCAGCGAAGUUGAAGUGUUUGUGAUGAUGCAAUCUACCCGCGGCUAGACGGAAAGACCCCAUGAACCUUUACUGUAGCUUUGCAUUGGACUUUGAACCGAUCUGUGUAGGAUAGGUGGGAGGCUAUGAAACCGGAACGCUAGUUUCGGUGGAGCCGUCCUUGAAAUACCACCCUGGUUUGUUUGAGGUUCUAACCUUGGCCCGUGAUCCGGGUCGGGGACAGUGCAUGGUAGGCAGUUUGACUGGGGCGGUCUCCUCCCAAAGCGUAACGGAGGAGUACGAAGGUACGCUAGGUACGGUCGGAAAUCGUGCUGAUAGUGCAAUGGCAUAAGCGUGCUUAACUGCGAGACCGACAAGUCGAGCAGGUGCGAAAGCAGGUCAUAGUGAUCCGGUGGUUCUGUAUGGAAGGGCCAUCGCUCAACGGAUAAAAGGUACUCUGGGGAUAACAGGCUGAUACCGCCCAAGAGUUCAUAUCGACGGCGGUGUUUGGCACCUCGAUGUCGGCUCAUCUCAUCCUGGGGCUGUAGCCGGUCCCAAGGGUAUGGCUGUUCGCCAUUUAAAGAGGUACGUGAGCUGGGUUUAAAACGUCGUGAGACAGUUUGGUCCCUAUCUGCCGUGGGCGUUGGAUAUUUGAAGGGGGCUGCUCCUAGUACGAGAGGACCGGAGUGGACGAACCUCUGGUGUACCGGUUGUCACGCCAGUGGCAUCGCCGGGUAGCUAUGUUCGGAAGAGAUAACCGCUGAAAGCAUCUAAGCGGGAAACUCGCCUUAAGAUGAGAUAUCCCUGGGGACUAGAUCCCCUUGAAGGGUCGUUCGAGACCAGGACGUUGAUAGGUCAGGUGUGUAAGCGCAGUAAUGCGUUCAGCUAACUGAUACUAAUUGCCCGUAAGGCUUGAUCCU
rnacentral:rRNA from 3 species